UAGUGGAAUUGCACUUGGUUAGGGAGAUUUCGUUGAGAUCAAAUUCCUUUUUUGAGGCACAAGGUCAGUUAGAAGAUUUAAAUUCGAAGAUUGUUCAGGGGUGUGAUAGGAUAAGGGAAUUGAAGGAGACUAUAAAGCUCUUAGAUGACAAUUUGGUGGGGUCUGCUAGAAAGGUACAAGAGUUGAAUGUUCAGAGAAGUGAAUUGAUUUCGCUCCAAGACAAGUUGAACCUUAUACUUUAUG
rnacentral:misc_RNA from 1 species